CCCCACCCACCUCUCAGGCCCUCCUGGGAUAACUGUCCUCCUCUGGGGCCCUGCACCUGCUCCCAGCCAUGGUGGCCAGGCUCACUGCUCUCCUUGUUUACCUCGUUUUCUCCUUGGCCAUCCUAGUCCAGACAGGAUAUGGAGACUUCAAUGAUUUUAAUCUAGAGGAUGCACUGAAAGAAACUUCCUGAGUAAAGCGUGACUCAAACAAACAAGUCCACCAAGCAAACACAAGUGGUCGGCCAUGCACCACACUCACAAUCUUGCCUUCAGAAAAGUACAUGCAUAUGAGACUAGCUGCACCUCCAUCUACCUGUUAGUUCUGUUGUGCAAGGCUUGUGUCGUCUCGUCAUACGUGUGUCAUCUUCCUUUUUCAUUUAGUCUAUGUCGAAACCACAAGAGAACGUGCAUCUGCCUUCGCCUUUUUUCUGCUGUACAAAAAGAGAACUCCUACCCGUUUCAUUCCUCUCACUGUUUUGUUUUGAGACAGGGUCUCUUGAUUUAGCCCGAGUUGUCCUGAAAUUCUCUGUGCCGACAAGGCCGGCUUUGACUUGGGUUCAGUGCUAGAACAACAGUGACUAUUGUCCACUGAUGCAUUUCUAGCUUCACAACCGAUGACUUUUUAUGAUUCUUCAGUGUGAUCCCCACAAUGGCCUCGGGGACCGAUACCGAGACCAUUCUCACGAUGUGACUUCUGUAAACCAUAAAGCAGCCAAUGUGUUUUAUAAUCUGCUUCCUUUCAUCCUCCCAUCUCCCUUCAGAGAGCCACUUUAGCACCACGACUAGGAGGACAGGAACUACCAGAGCCCCAUCAAAUCCAGCAGAGAGAUGGGACCACAUCACCACUACUACAGCGAGAAGGCCAGGAACAACUACAGCACCAUCAAAUCCUAUGAGUAAGACAAGCUCUCAGAAGAAAAAAGGAAGGAAGGAUUUUCCACAUCAGCUACCUGUUUCAGUUGGUCAGACAAGGAUCUCGAAGAUAUCUUGGGAGACGGGGGAUACAAACCUGACAAGAACAGAGUGGAUGGACUGCCAGACCGAAGGCUUCAUGAAAGAACUGUGCUGCUGUGAACGUCUGUAUAUGGGCUUAUAGAAGAUUUCACACAGGCAUAGUUUUUAACUGUCUUGAGUACUUGUGGGCAUUGGCAUCCGCUCAGCAUCUGCUAGGGCCUCUGUGCUGGGUCCAGACAUGGCUCCAUUUCACUUAUUGGUAUAAGGGUGUGUCGUCGAUUCAUAAUACAUUAGAUAUUAAAUGUGUCCCCAUGAUGGCAAGAAAGAUGGUUUGCUGUUUGAUAACACUGGAUGUUUUCACACACAGAACAUACAUGGUUUGCAACAAUAUUCAUUCAUUCUGUUACCAAGGAUCCUGACAUGUUCUUCUGGCUUCUGUAGCCUUUUGCAACAGAUCCCAGAACCAAACUUUAUACUAUUAAAACAUCUCAUAUGUGCAUUAGUAAUAAUAAAAGAUUCUUCCAUGAAUAAUUUAGACAGUUACAAGUUAUCUCUGUGCAUAGCUCCACAUGUACUGUGGGGUCAGACUUCGAGAGAUUCAUUAUUUGGGAGUGACGUCUUAAGAAAGUAAACACAUUGACAAAAGGUCUGAAGACUUAAAGACAUACAAAGAAUCAAUAAAUUAUUCUGGAAAAUCUCCUAUUAUGACAAAAGCCAUAGCUGACCACAACUGGAAAACCAAUGAUAUUGAUGAAAAAUGUAAUAUUUCAUAUGCUGCACUUCAGGAAGAAGGUCCUACAGAGAAACAGAAAGGCUAUAUAUAUAUAUACAUACCAAGCCACCAGUUUAUUCUGAUCCAACAACACCAAGAAAGAAAUGCUCAUUUGGCAAAAAUCUUACAAGCAUUUAUGUCGACAGAAAGCUGCCUGCUCCAAAACUUGAUAUGUUAUCCAUAAUUGCAGGUAAAGGACGAGAAUCAGAUCACAUAUUCGAUAUUCUACCUGAAAAUUCACACUAGUGCGUCAGAGAGAGGAUUGACAGUGAACAACUCAUUGAAUGGAUUAAAGAAUGCAUGCUUGUAAUAGCAUCUGUCUUGAAGAUGCCCAUUAUACAAAUCAUGAUCGACAACUAUCAUCAAAUAUUUGGAAAUGAUGAUAUAUUUAAUAAACAUAUUGACAGAAGAUCUGAGGAUUUAAAGACUUUUGCAGAUUCAAUAAACUCUUCUGGCAAAUCACCUAUUAUGAAAGAAUUCCUAGCUGGCCACAACAAGAAAACAUGCGAUAAUAGUGAAAAAUUAAAAAUUUCAUACGUUGCUCUGCAGGAGGAUGGUCCUACAGGACAGAACAGAACAACUACCACAUAUAAGUGGUAGAAGAUGACUGAAGACAUUAUAAGGUCAUUCUAUUUUAAUGUUCCCUUCUACCUUCCACUUAAUCAUAGCAGAACAAUUAUUACAACAUCCUGCUUCAGCAUUCAUAUGCUAUCAUAAUAAAUGUUAAAAUAAAUAAAAGUGUUAUUGCUUACA
ensembl:lncRNA